rnacentral:lncRNA from 1 species
CACUGCUGGUGAGAAUGCAAACUAGUUCAGCCACUAUGGAAAACAAUAUGGAGAUUUCUCAAAAAGUUAAAAAUAGAAAUACCAUAUGACCCAGCUAUGCCACUAUUGGAUAUUUAUCCAAAGAACUUGAAAUCAACAAUUCAGAGACUUCUGCACUCCUAUGUUCGUUGCAGCCCUAUUCACUAUAGCCAAGACAUGGAAGCAACCCAAGUGCCCAUUGACUGAUGGUUGGAUAAAGAAGAUGUGGUGUAUAUAUAUAUAUAUAUAUAUAUAUAUAUAUACAAUGGAAUACUACUCAGCCAUGAAAAAGACAAAAUCAUCCCAUUUGCAACAUCAUGGAUCGACCUUGAAGCUUCAAAGUCUACUGCACCAACGACAUGUGGGAGUCUUGAGCUGGACUCUGGAAUCACGGAGUUGUCAAUUUCAGGAAGUGGGUGAGACCUGGAGACACGGAGCAACGAACCUGGGUCUGUAUAACGAGUUAAGUGUGGG